CGUAAACGUCCGCCAUGACGUUCAAGAAAAUUGAGAAAUUUUGUAACAUAAACUCGUAUUUCAUAACAAAGAAGUAAAGAUUAAUACAAUUAUCGGUGUGCUUCGUUGAAACAGGAAGAGGAUUAUCCAUCUAUUGUAUUGGGAGUGUUUGUGGAGCAUCCAACACCAUUUCUUAGAGAAGCCUUACAGAAGAUUGCAGCAUUAGAUUAUCCUAAACAGAAAAUUGAUUUCUUUAUUCAUUCAUCAUUAAGAAAUCACCAGAAUGAGAUAGAUUUAUUCUUGAACAAGGUUGGAAUAUUGUACAAGUCUGUCAAUACUAUAGGUUCAUAUGAUAGUAUUGGUGAAGCAGCAGCCAGGAACUGGGCCAUACAUAGUUUAACAGACUAAUUAUUUAGCAGACAGUUGGACAUCAAGUUCGGGGUGUAUGUCAGGAAGAUACCAUUAAUCAUGAGAAAUUACAG